AAGGAAUAUUGGGCAAUGGACGCAAGUCUGACCCAGCCAUGCCGCGUGAAGGAAGACGGCCCUAUGGGUUGUAAACUUCUUUUCUCAGGGGGUAAACUCUGGAACGAGUUCCGGACUGAAAGUACCUGAGGAAUAAGCAUCGGCUAACUCCGUGCCAGCAGCCGCGGUAAUACGGAGGAUGCGAGCGUUAUCCGGAUUCAUUGGGUUUAAAGGGUGCGUAGGCGGUUUGAUAAGUCAGCGGUGAAAUAUUUCAGCUUAACUGGAAGGGUGCCGUUGAUACUGUCGAGCUUGAAUUUAGUUGCUGUGGGUGGAAUGUGUGGUGUAGCGGUGAAAUGCAUAGAUAUCACACAGAAUAUCGAUUGCGAAGGCAGCUCACAAAGCUAAUAUUGACGCUGAUGCACGAAAGUGUGGGGAUCAAAC
rnacentral:rRNA from 1 species